UAGUAAAUAUUAUAUUGUGAAAACUCCCACAUGCAUUAAGAAAGGAGCCGUUGACAGUUUAUGGAGAUGGCAAGCAAACCCGGAGUUUUCAAUACGUUUCUGAUCUGGUGGAGGGGCUAAUGAAACUGAUGGAAGGCGAGCACGUGGGGCCUUUUAAUCUGGGCAACCCCGGCGAAUUCACUAUGCUCGAACUUGCUCAGGUAGUGCAAGAGACAAUAGAUCCAAAUGCAAAGAUAGAGUUCAGACCGAACACGGAAGAUGACCCGCAUAAAAGAAAACCUGACAUUUCUAAAGCUAAGGACCUUCUUGGUUGGGAGCCCACCGUGUCCCUUCGAAAGGGCCUUCCCUUAUGGUUUCGGACUUUCGUCAACGCAUCUUCGGUGACUCGAAAGAUGACAUUUCCACUGCUGCCGUCCUCUCCACCACCACCACGGUCUAGUCCCUCCUUCUUAUCUCUUCUCAUACCUUUUAGAAUAAGAGAUCUCUCAAAUCACUUCCUCCCAAAGAAUAACAUUUGGUAGUUUGAAGAGAUGAGAGAAAAAAGAGGAGGGGAUCUUCCCAUCCAUCAAAACCUCUUUCUUUUCUCCCAAUUUUCACAUUUUUUAUUCCGUGGGCCUAAUUUACCUCUCUCUUCCUCUCCUGUUUUGUAUAUCUUUGCUCUAUUAUUUAUGAAACUCUCCUCUCUCUUUUUUAUUUCACUUAUUCCCAUAUACAUUAUAUUUAUACCUUUCUUUUUGUUAAAUUAUAAAUAUGAACUUUUGUAGUUAUAUAUAUAUAUGUUUGAUCAAUCUACCAUUCUUCUCGUUUCAUGAA